ACUGACUAAAAUACAUUAUCAUGUGUAUAUAGUCACAAUAUAGAGUGUCAAUGUGAUUGUGAGAUUGUUGGUGGUACAUGUGUAUUGAUAGUAUGAAAUACAGUUGAAAUCCAUAAAUAAACUAUUCAGCAUUCCUAAAUAAGAACAUUAAAGGAUGAAAAUCUAAAACAAUUUCUCUAUUUUUGUUUUUACUGAAUUAGUUAUGGAUCUGUCUCUUUGAAGUAAUUUUGUUUAAAUUAAUAUAAAUAAUAUAGCAAUAGGUAGAUAUAUAUUUGGAUAUUUCUGUGAUACUUAUG
rnacentral:lncRNA from 1 species